rnacentral:ncRNA from 1 species
AAGGGGAGGCCUAGCGCCUGAGACGUCUUUAGUGACGGACCCUUCGAACCUGAUCCGGUUAGUACCGGCGUAGGAAUAGGAACAA